rnacentral:lncRNA from 1 species
AUGCCUAGGAAUUCCCUAGAUUGUCCUUGCAGCUUUUCUGUAAAUUUGAAAUUAUACCAAAAUAAAAAAUCACGGGAUAUAAUAACCAAGAACGGCAACAAAAAAGGCACUGAACCCGUACUGUCAACAGUGCCGUGUGACCCCUGGCUCAGCUCCAGGGGGACAGAAGCACUUACUGUGCACCCGGCACAAGAGUUGAACCUGGUGGCCCCAAGGUUAAUGAGACAGACCCACCCCUGCCCUCUGAGGACCACCAGAUGUGGGACCAGGAUGAGGAGGCUCCAAGGCCGAGGCGCAGAACGGACACGGAUAGCGCACCGGGCAUGGGCUGGGCGCUCGACAGACUUUAUAGCCACAGCGACGACGCUGAGCAGAAUGACGAUCAUCUCAAGGAGAAAACACUUCGUCAUUCUCUCCGCUUGUGUCCCAGAUGCUACGGAACUGGUCCAGAUCUUACUAUUUGGCCACCUCCUUUCCUUGCAGACUGUGUGGGUUUAUUUUUCCUCUGGUUGCUUUGCCAAAAGCCAGAGUAACAACCCCACAACACCUGCCACUUGGUAAGAGGAGAAUUAUUAUUAUUAUUUUUAACCAAAAAGGCACUGAUUACGGCAGGAAAUCCUGAAGUGUGGGCAGCGAUGGGUCCCAGCUUGGUACGCCCAGACUCUCCACGUGUCCCCCCACGGGGGCCUCUUCCUGUGUCAUUUCUGCACUGGCCUCAGAGGCCCCAUGACCUAACCCCAAAGUAUAGCCAAGGAGAGGGGGUUUAGAGGCUGGCCACUGGAAGAGUCCAGCAAUUUCCUUUUAGGGCUGGACCUGUGACCUCAGGCUACCCCGGCAGCUGUCUUUAGAAUGACCCCCCCGGUAGUCUUGACUGUGGGUUGCACACAUGCAUGUACACGCAAGCACGCCCGCGCACAGCACACA